AAAAGUUCAAACUCUGCAAAGAUCAAAAGAUAUGUGUGCCUAGAUGAAACAAUUCCGGGAAGAAAUCAUGCCCAAUAAAGCUUCCGUGCUCCAGAAGAGAGAGAGUUCUCUAGCAGGAGUAAGUGAAGUUGAGAAAACCAAAGCUCCGAGACCUGCAACAAUCCACUCAUGGGCAGCAGGAGACAGAUCUACCCACUGACGCCAGUCUCCCUUCCUACAGAAAAGUGGUGCUUUUCUCUUACUGGCUGCAA
rnacentral:lncRNA from 1 species